UGCACGAGGUGGCCGGCGCCGAGGCGGACCUCGCGGCCGCCGGGGUCGCCGCCCUCCCGGCGGUGUUCGUCGGGGGCAGGCUGCUCGGGGGCCUCGACCGGCUCAUGGCCGCGCACAUCUCCGGCGACCUCGUCCCCAUACUCAAGGACGCCGGCGCGCUGUGGCUCUGACACGAGCAGCCACCAAGCUAGCCGCCCUCUGAUUGCCUCUCCGUCGUCAGCUGCUUUGCUUUGAAUUAAACGAUGGUGGUGUUGUCAACUCGUUUUUAUUUACUCAUUGACUAGAGAUAGACAUGCACAUAGGACUUCAAUUCUUGUACUUGUACUACUAGGGAAAAGAGAGUGAAUUAUAGUACUUUAAUAUUAUUUGUUACUUGUAUUUUCCAUCCUGUGAAUACGAAAUACCGACUCCAGCUUCUGUUUGUUC
rnacentral:lncRNA from 1 species